rnacentral:rRNA from 1 species
UACAGAGGAGCCAAGCGUUGUCCGGAUUGACUGGGCGUAAAGCGCACGCAGGCGGAUGCGCGCGUGGGGUGUGAAAUCUGGCCGCUUAACGGCCAGGCGCCAUCCCAUACGGCGCGUCUGGAGUGAUGCAGAGGUCGAUGGAAUUGCCGGUGUAGUGGUGAAAUGCGUAGAGAUCGGCAGGAACACCCAGGGGGAAACCAGUCGACUGGGCAUCUACUGACGCUGAGGUGCGAGAGCGUGGGGAGCAAACGGG